GACGAACGCUGGCGGCGUGCUUAACACAUGCAAGUCGAACGGAAAGGCCCUGCUUUUGUGGGGUGCUCGAGUGGCGAACGGGUGAGUAACACGUGAGUAACCUGCCCUUGACUUUGGGAUAACUUCAGGAAACUGGGGCUAAUACCGGAUAGGAGCUCCUGCUGCAUGGUGGGGGUUGGAAAGUUUCGGCGGUUGGGGAUGGACUCGCGGCUUAUCAGCUUGUUGGUGGGGUAGUGGCUUACCAAGGCUUUGACGGGUAGCCGGCCUGAGAGGGUGACCGGGCACAUGGGGACUGAGAUACGGCCCAGACUCCUACGGGAGGCAGCAGGGGGGAAUAUUGCACAGUGGGCGGAAGCCUGAUGCGGCAACGCCGCGUGCGGGAUGACGGCCUUCGGGUUGUAAACCGCUUUCGCCUGUGACGAAGCGUGAGUGACGGUAAUGGGUAAAGAAGCACCGGCUAACUACGUG
rnacentral:rRNA from 1 species